rnacentral:rRNA from 1 species
AUGGCAGCAGGCGCGAAGGGCGACGGGCCGGCGAUCGGCAUCGACCUCGGGACGACCUACUCCUGCGUGGCCGUCUGGCGGAAGUCGCACAACCGUGUGGAGGUCAUCGCCAACGACCAGGGCAACUUCACCACGCCGUCCUGCGUUGCCUUCACCGACGCAUGGAGGCUCAUCGGCGACGCGGCUGUGAACCAGGCCGCCAUGAACCCCGUCAACACCAUCUUCGAUGUGAAGCGACUUAUUGGCCGGCAUUUUAGCGAUGCGUUGGUGCAAGGAGACAUCAAGACGUCCACGUGGCCAUUCAAAGUUGUCUCCGGUCCCAGCGACCGGCCGAUGAUCGUGGUGCAGUAUAUGGACGUGGAGAAGCAGUUUAAGGCCGAGGAGAUCUCAGCCAUGGUUCUCGGCAAGAUGCGGGAGAUCGCCGAGGCCUACCUCGGCACCGAGGUGAAGAAUGCUGUCAUUACCGUCCCGGUCUACUUCACGGAUUCCCAGAGGCAAGCAACCAUUGAUGCCAGCACCAUCGCCGGCCUCAAUGUCAUGCGCAUCAUCAACGAGCCCUCUGCCGCUGCCCUUGCCUAUGGUUUGGGCAAGAUGUCACCCAUUGACGAAGUCAAGACUGUGCUUGUGUUUGAUCUUGGUGGCGGUACCUUGGACGUCUCCAUUGUCAAAGUUGAUCGGAGUGCCGACAUUGAGAUGGACAUCUUUCAGGUCAAGGCCACGGCCGGUGACACACACCUCGGCGGCGAGGAUUUCAACACCCACAUGGUGAAACACUUAGUGCGGGAGUUCCUUAAGAAGUACAAGAAGAAUGACAUCAGGAAAAACCGAACGGCGCUUCGCCGGCUCAGGACGGCCUGCGAGAAGGCCAAGAGGGUGCUCUCCUAUGCGUCCCAGGUAACCGUUGAGAUCGACUCACUUCACGACGGCAUCGACUUCUAUGGUGUCAUCACCCGCACAAAGUUCGAGGAGCUCAACAUGGACCUCUUCAGCAAUUGCAUUGUGCAUGUGGAGAAGUGCCUGAGCGACGCCAAUAUGGACAAGUCUAUGAUCGAUGACAUCUUGCUCGUGGGUGGCUCCUCCCGGAUCCCGAAAGUCCAAGAGCUGCUCCGGGAUUUCUUUGACGGGAAUGAACUCUGCACAAGUAUCAACCCGGACGAGGCUGCCGCCUAUGGUGCCGCUGUAAAGGCAGCGCUCCUCAACGAUGAGGGCUUCAAGGAAGUGCGGGAUGUAGUCCUGCUCGAGGUCACACAACUCUCACUUGGGGUGGAGACGGAAGGUGGUGUCAUGAGCGUGCUGAUCCCGAAGACCACUACCAUCCCGGUCAAGAAGGAGAGGGUUUACACGACUUGCUACGACAACCAGACACAAGUGCUGUUUCAGGUGUACCAAGGCGAGGGGUCGGAAACCAAGGACAACAUCCUCCUCGGGAAGUUCACUCUCCGUGGCAUCCCCCCAGCGCCCAGGGGCCAGCCGAAGAUCAACGUUACCUUUGAAAUCGACGCUGACAACAUACUGCAGGUACGUGCAACAAGAACAUAA